AGUGAACGCUGGCGGUAGGCCUAACACAUGCAAGUCGAACGGCAGCACAGUAAUAGCUUGCUCUUACGGGUGGCGAGUGGCGGACGGGUGAUGAAUACAUCGGUAUCUACUUUUUCUUGGGGGAUAACGUAGGGAAACUUACUCUAAUACCUCAUACGACCUACGGGUGAAAGCAGGGGACCUUCGGACCUUGCGCGAUUGAAUGAGCCGAUGUCGGGUUAGCUAGUUUGCGGGGUAAAGGCCCACCAAGGCGACGAUCCGUAGCUGGUCUGAGAGGAUGAUCAGCCACACUGGAGCUGAGACACGGUCCAGACUCCUACGGGAGGCAGCAGUGGGAAAUAUUGGACAAUGGGCGAAAGCCUGAUCCAGCCAUACCGCGUGGGUGAAGAAGGCCUUCGGGUUGUAAAGCCAUUUUGUUGGGAAAGAAAAGGAGCAGGUUAAUACCCCGCUGUUCUGACGGUACCAAAAGAAUAAGCACCGGCUAACUUCGU
rnacentral:rRNA from 1 species